AGCAUCGCGCCUGUGCUUUUCGGUACCCUAAGGCGGCACCUGAAUAAGGGCUGGGCAAGACCGGUGCCAGCCGCCGCGGUAAUACCGGCAGCCCAAGUGAUGGCCGAUCUUAUUGGGCCUAAAGCGUCCGUAGCUGGCCACGCAAGUCCAUCGGGAAAUCCACCUGCCCAACAGGUGGACGCCCGGUAGAAACUGCGUGGCUUGGGACCGGAAGGCGCGACGGGUACGUCCGGGGUAGGAGUGAAAUCCCGUAAUCCUGGACGGACCGCCGAUGGCGAAAGCACGUCGCGAGAACGGAUCCGACAGUGAGGGACGAAAGCCAGGGUCUCGAACCGGAUUAGAUACCCGGGUAGUCCUGGCCGUAAACAAUGUCUGCUAGGUGUGGCUCCCACUACGAGUGGGUGCUGUGCCGCAGGGAAGCCGCUAAGCAGACCGCCUGGGAAGUACGUCCGCAAGGAUGAAACUUAAAGGAAUUGGCGGGGGAGCAC
rnacentral:rRNA from 1 species